AUUGAACGCUGGCGGCAGGCCUAACACAUGCAAGUCGAGCGGCAGCGGGAAAGUAGCUUGCUACUUUUGCCGGCGAGCGGCGGACGGGUGAGUAAUGCCUGGGGAUCUGCCCAGUCGAGGGGGAUAACUACUGGAAACGGUAGCUAAUACCGCAUACGCCCUACGGGGGAAAGCAGGGGACCUUCGGGCCUUGCGCGAUUGGAUGAACCCAGGUGGAUUAGCUAGUUGGUGAGGUAAUGGCUCACCAAGGCGACGAUCCCUAGCUGGUCUGAGAGGAUGAUCAGCCAGACUGGAACUGAGACACGGUCCAGACUCCUACGGGAGGCAGCAGUGGGGAAUAUGGCACAAUGGGGGAAACCCUGAUGCGGCCAUGCCGCGUGUGUGAAGAAGGCCUUCGGGUUGUAAAGCACUUUCAGCGAGGAGGAAAGGUUGGUAGCUAAUAACUGCCAGCUGUGACGUUACUCGCAGAAGAAGCACCGGCUAACUCCGUGCCAGCAGCCGCCGUAAUAC
rnacentral:rRNA from 1 species